AGAGUUUGAUCAUGGCUCAGGACGAACGCUGGCGGCGUGCCUAACACAUGCAAGUCGAACGGAACUUAUUUAGAAGAUUCUUUCGGGAUGAUUUUGAUUAAGUUUAGUGGCGGACGGGUGAGUAACGCGUGAGUAACCUGCCUUUGAGAGGGGAAUAACAAUCUGAAAAGAUUGCUAAUACCGCAUAACAUAUAUUUGUCGCAUGGCAGAUAUAUCAAAGAUUUUAUCGCUCAAAGAUGGACUCGCGUCCGAUUAGUUAGUUGGUGAGGUAACGGCUCACCAAGACCGCGAUCGGUAGCCGGACUGAGAGGUUGAACGGCCACAUUGGGACUGAGACACGGCCCAGACUCCUACGGGAGGCAGCAGUGGGGGAUAUUGCGCAAUGGGGGCAACCCUGACGCAGCGACGCCGCGUGAAGGAUGAAGGUUUUCGGAUUGUAAACUUCUUUUAUUAAGGACGAAAAAUGACGGUACUUAAUGAAUAAGCUCCGGCCAACUACGUGCCAGCAGCCGCGGUAAUACGUAGGGAGCAAGCGUUGUCCGGAUUUACUGGGUGUAAAGGGUGCGUAGGCGGCUUUGCAAGUCAGAUGUGAAAUCUAUGGGCUCAACCCAUAAACUGCAUUUGAAACUGUAGAGCUUGAGUGAAGUAGAGGCAGGCGGAAUUCCCCGUGUAGCGGUGAAAUGCGUAGAGAUGGGGAGGAACACCAGUGGCGAAGGCGGCCUGCUGGGCUUUAACUGACGCUGAGGCACGAAAGCGUGGGUAGCAAACAGGAUUAGAUACCCUGGUAGUCCACGCUGUAAACGAUGAUUACUAGGUGUGGGGGGUCUGACCCCUUCCGUGCCGGAGUUAACACAAUAAGUAAUCCACCUGGGGAGUACGGCCGCAAGGUUGAAACUCAAAUGAAUUGACGG
rnacentral:rRNA from 1 species